GCCGAAAAGAAAAGUUUCAUGAUAUUACUCGCACUCGACGUGGAAAUGAGCCUGGCGAGACCAGUGCUUUAUUGGGUGUCUGGACCGUCUUUUGUUCCUCAAAUGUGAUAUUUUCAGCAGUUGAUCUGAACAGAGCAGGACCGGAAUCGAGGGGCAGAGAGGAGAGAAAGCGAUCGGACAUGCCAUGCCCUGGAGCCAAGGACCAUGAUGCAACCGUGUUUAAGCUCGAAUAUUCCCUCCCUCCAGACGUUUCUGAUGGACAUUUCAGCACAGAGAAGUGACAGGGAAGAAGCGUUGCAAAA
ensembl:lncRNA